rnacentral:ribozyme from 1 species
ACAGAGUGGAAAAUUCGAAAAUGUGAAAGAUCAAUCAAAGAAAAAGGAGGCACGGUUCCUUCUUCCUCUUCUUCCUCUUCUUCUUCUUCUUCCUCUGCUUCCUUUUCUUCCC